AUGAACGCUGGCGGCGUGCCUCAUCCCUUCCCGUCGAGCGAACAGACGAGGAGCUUGCUCCUCUGACGUUAGCGGCGGACGGGUGAGUAACACGUGGAUAACCUACCUAUAAGACUGGGAUAACUUCGGGAAACCGGAGCUAAUACCGGAUAAUAUAUUUAACCGCAUGGUUCAAUAGUGAAAGACGGUUUUGCUGUCACUUAUAGAUGGAUCCGCGCCGCAUUAGCUAGUUGGUAAGGUAACGGCUUACCAAGGCAACGAUGCGUAGCCGACCUGAGAGGGGGAUCGGCCAGACGGGAACUGAGACAGGGUAAAGACACCGACGGGAGGAAGCAGUAGGGAAUAGUCCGCAAUGGGCGAAAGCCUGACGGAGCAACGCCGCGUGAGUGAUGAAGGUCUUCGGAUCGUAAAACUCUGUUAUUAGGGAAGAACAAAUGUGUAAGUAACUAUGCACGUCUUGACGGUACCUAAUCAGAAAGCCACGGCUAACUACGUG
rnacentral:rRNA from 1 species